ACGGAUAAAAGGUACUCCGGGGAUAACAGGCUGAUACCGCCCAAGAGUUCAUAUCGACGGCGGUGUUUGGCACCUCGAUGUCGGCUCAUCACAUCCUGGGGCUGAAGUAGGUCCCAAGGGUAUGGCUGUUCGCCAUUUAAAGUGGUACGCGAGCUGGGUUUAGAACGUCGUGAGACAGUUCGGUCCCUAUCUGCCGUGGGCGCUGGAGAACUGAGGGGGGCUGCUCCUAGUACGAGAGGACCGGAGUGGACGCAUCACUGGUGUUCGGGUUGUCAUGCCAAUGGCACUGCCCGGUAGCUAAAUGCGGAAGAGAUAAGUGCUGAAAGCAUCUAAGCACGAAACUUGCCCCGAGAUGAGUUCUCCCUGACCCUUUAAGGUCCUGAAGGAACGUUGAAGACGACGACGUUGAUAGGCCGGGUGUGUAAGCGCAGCGAUGCGUUGAGCUAACCGGUACUAAUGAACCGUGAGGCUUAACCUUACAACGCCGAAGGUGUUU
rnacentral:rRNA from 1 species